rnacentral:rRNA from 1 species
AACGCGAAGAACCUUACCUGGGCUCGAAGCGCAGUGGACCGGGGUAGAAAUAUCCCUUUUCGCAAGAACCGCUGCGGAGGUGCUGCAUGGCUGUCGUCAGCUCGUGUCGUGAGAUGUUGGGUUAAGUCCCGCAACGAGCGCAACCCUUGUCCUGUGUUGCCAUUCCGCAAGGAGGAACUCGCAGGAGACCGCCAGGGAUAACCUGGAGGAAGGUGGGGAUGACGUCAAGUCCUCAUGGCCUUUAUGUCUAGGGCUACACACGUGCUACAAUGGACGGUACAGAGGGUCGCCAACCCGCGAGGGGGAGCCAAUCCCAAAAAACCGUUCUCAGUUCGGAUUGCAGGCUGCAACUCGCCUGCAUGAAGCUGGAAUCGCUAGUAAUGCCGUAUCAGAACGAUGGCGUGAAUACGUUCCCGGGCCUUGUACACACCGAGUAUA